GCGAGCGCGGGGCGGGGCUGAUGGCGGCCCCGCCGCUGGGGCGCCCGCAGGCCGGGGGAAAUCGCUUUCAUCUUCUUACGCUGCUCCAUUGCGGUUUUCUCCAUUAAAACGAGCACCAAAGAGUCAAAUGCAGUGUGAAGUCAAUGAGAAUAUCCGACUGCCAGGGCAUCUGGGCUGUGUCAGAAAGACUUGCUGCUCUCUGCUUUCUUAGAGGAAGAACUGACCUUCAAGGAGAAGAUGUUACCGAGGAAAGAGAGGAAGCCAAGCCUCUUCUCCAUGGAGCACAUGGACUUGCCCUUCCUGAGCACACUUGUGACCCUCACAACUGUCUCCCCUGCUGUUUGCUCUGUCUGCUUCUUUCUCUUUCUUCUUUUCCUCUCUCCCCAACCACACCCACUAUUUAACCAUUUAGAUAUAAAAAUAAAAAAUAAGAAAACCACCCAACCCACUAGACAGAGGGUUUGCUAAAGAAGGGUAAUUUUAAAAGCGAGUCUUUGAGGUCAGUGUGUAAUUGUACCAUUGGGACUAUGUGAUCUGAGACAAAAAUAAUCCACUGGGUAUCUGGUCAAGAAGGAGAGGACGGCAGCCUGCAGUGAGGGAAGAGUGACUUACAUGGGACUGACCAGGCAGCAAAAGACCAGGCAAAACUACUUGCUGGCACCAGAAUUAACAUUUGUGUAGAAUAGUGCAAAAUAUUCUGUGAAGGGAUCAUUACAGCUGUUGCUCGAGUCAUGGCCUCCCUUGGUCUGUGCCAGGAGGCACUGGGUACUUCCUAGAAAUGUAAUGGUCUUCCACAGAAAUAAAGAUACCAUGUGAAGUAUAUUUAUAUAUUAACUUGCUCAUGAGGAACAUUUCUGGUUUGAUGCGGAGUUUAGGGUGCUGAGGUUUUUUAAUAGUUCUUCAUUUUCAAACCCCUGUUUCAGGUACUUUAUGAAAACCUGAAUUCUGCAAAGGGUUCAUAGGACUGUAAGCCAUGCCCUUGGAAUAAAGAAGGAU